AAGCAAUACCGUGAGGUGGAGCAAAACUCAAAAAAUGAUCUCAGUUCGGACUGUAGGCUGCAACUCGCCUACACGAAGUUGGAAUUGCUAGUAAUCGUGGAUCAGCAUGCCACGGUGAAUACGUUCCCGGGUCUUGUAUACACCGCCCGUCACACCAUGGGAGCUGGUAACACCCGAAGUCAGUAGUCUAACCGCAAGGAGGACGCUGCCGAAGGUGGGAUUAGCGACUGGGGUGAAGUCGUAACAAGGUACC
rnacentral:rRNA from 1 species